rnacentral:rRNA from 1 species
UACAGAGGUGGCAAGCGUUGUUCGGAAUUACUGGGCGUAAAGGGCGCGUAGGCGGUCCGAUAAGUCCCGUGUGAAAUCCCUCGGCUCAACUGAGGAAUGGCACGGGAAACUGCCGGGCUUGAGUUCGGGAGAGGGAAGCGGAAUUCCGGGUGUAGCGGUGAAAUGCGUAGAUAUCUGGAGGAAUACCGGUGGCGAAGGCGGCAUCCUGGACCGGCAUUGACGCUGAGGAGCGAAAGCUAGGGGAGCAAACGGG